AUUGAACGCUGGCGGCAUGCCUUACACAUGCAAGUCGAACGGAUUCUUGGGGCUUGCUCCAAGAGUUAGUGGCGAACGGGUGAGUAAUGCAUCGGAACGUGCCCAAUCGUGGGGAUAACGUAGCGAAGUUACGCUAAUACCGCAUACGUCCUGAGGGAGAAAGCAGGGGACGUCGCAAGAGCCUUGCGCGAAUGGAGGCGGCCGGAUGUCGGAUUAGCUAGNGGUCGGGGUAAAGACCCACCAAGGCGACGAUCCGUAGCUGGUCUGAGA
rnacentral:rRNA from 1 species